rnacentral:rRNA from 1 species
CGUAGGGAGCAAGCGUUAUCCGGAUUUAUUGGGUGUAAAGGGUGCGUAGACGGGAAAUAAGUUAGUUGUGAAACCCUCGGCUUAAACUGAGGAACUGCAACUAAAACUGUUUUCUUGAGUGUUGGAGAGGAAAGUGGAAUUCCUAGUGUAGCGGUGAAAUGCGUAGAUAUUAGGAGGAACACCAGUGGCGAAGGCGACUUUCUGGACAACAACUGACGUUGAGGCACGAAAGUGUGGGGAGCAAACAGGAUU